rnacentral:rRNA from 1 species
AAGUCCCAUAACGAGCGCAACCCUACCUUUAGUUGCCAUCAGGUAAUGCUGGGGACGUCUAAAGGAACUGCCUACGCAAGUAGUGAGGAAGCGGGGAUGACGUCAAAUCAGCACGGCCCUUACGUCCAGGGCUACACACGUGCUACAAUGGCCGAUACAGAGGGCAGCUACCUGGUGACAGGAUGCAAAUCUCCAAAGUCGGUCUCAGUUCGGAUCGGAGUCUGCAACCCGACUCCGUGAAGUUGGAUUCGCUAGUAAUCGCGCAUCAGCCAUGGCGCGGUGAAUACGUUCCCGGGCCUU